GCCUGGCUAGCUCAGUUGGAAGAGCGAGCGACUCUUGAUCUCUAGGUCAUAAGUUCAAGCCCCAUGGUGGGUG
rnacentral:tRNA from 1 species